GAUGAACGCUGGCGGCGUGCCUAAUACAUGCAAGUCGAGCGAACAGAUCAGGCGCUUGCUCCUCUGACGUUAGCGGCGGACGGGGGAGUAACACGAGUAUAAUCUACCUAUAAGACUGAUAUAACUUCGUGAAACGGGAGCUAAUACAGUAUAAUAUAUUGAACAGCAUGGUUCAAUAGUGAAAGUCGGUUGUGCUGGUAGGUAUAGAUGGAUCACGGCCGCAUGAGCGAGUUGGUAAGGGAACGGCUUAUGAAGGAAACGAUGCGUAGCCCAACUUAGGGGGGAAUCUGCCACACUGGAACUGAGACACGAUCCAGACUCCUAAGGGAGGCAGCAGUAUGCAAUCUUGCGCAAUGGGCGAAAACCUGACGGAACAACGCCGAGUGAGUGCAGAAGGUCUUCGGAUCGUAAAAAUCUAUUAUUAGUGAAAAACAACUGUGUAAGUAACUAUACACUUCUUGACGGUACCUACUAAGAAAGCCCCGGCUAACUACGUG
rnacentral:rRNA from 1 species